rnacentral:rRNA from 1 species
GUACGAACGAAGGCUUCGGCCUUGAGUGGCGCACGGGUGCCGCUAACGCGUGGGAAUCUGCCUUCAGGUAACGGAAUAACUAGGCGGAAACUCGAGCUAAUACCGUAUGACAUCGAGAGAUCAAUAAGAUUUAUCGCCUGAAGACUGAGCCCGCGUUGGAUGUAGUCUAGCUUGGUAGCGGUAAAAGCUUACCAAUGGCGACGAUCCAUAGCUGGUCUGAGAGGACUGAUCAGCCACACGUGGCGACUGAGACACGGCCCAGACUCCUACGGGAGGCAGCAGUGGCGGAAUAUUGGACAAUGGCGGGAAACCCUUGAUCCAGCAAUAGCCGCGUGAGUGAAGAAGUGCCUUAGGGUUGUAGAGCUCUAUGUUACCCGGGAUGAUAAUGACAGUACUCGGAGAGAAUGAAGUCUCCUGGCUAAUCUCCGUGCCAGCAGCCGCGGUCAUAUACGGAGGGUAGCUAGCGUUGUGUCGGCAAUUACUGGGCGUAAUAGCGUACGUGAGGCGGUUUAAUAAGUCAGGGGUGAAUUAGCCCAGAGCUCAGCUCUGGACACUGCCUUAUGAGACUGUUACGACAUAGAUACAUAGAAGAGGCUAAGUGGAAUUCCGAGUGUAGAGCGUGAAAUUCGUUAGAUAUUCGGAAGGAAUCACCAGUGGCGAAGGCGACUUACUGGUCUGAUAGUUGACGCUGAGGUACGAAUAGCGUGGCGUAGCAUAACAGGAUGUAGAUUACCCUGGUAGUCCAACGCCGUAUAACGAUGAUAACUAGCUGUCCGGGUACAUGCGUAUCUGGGUGGUCGGAGCUAACGCAUUAAGUUAUCCGCCUGGCGGAAGUACGGUCGCAAGAUUAAAACUCAAAGAACAUUGACGGGCGGCUUGCACAAGCGGUGGAGCAUGUGGUUAUAAUUGCGAAGCAACGCGCAGAACCUUACCAGCGUUAUGACAUCCUGAUCGCGGACAAGUGGAUGACACAUUCUUUCAGUUCGGCUGGACUCAGAGACAGGUGCUGCCAUGGCCUGUCGUCAGCAUCCGUGUUCGUGAGAUAGUAAUGGGUUAAGUCCGCGCUAACGAGCGCAACCCUCACCUCUAGUUGCCAUCAUUAAGUUGGAGCCACUGUUAGAGGAACUGCCGGUGAUAAGCCGGAGGAUAGGCUGGGGAUGACGUCAAGUCCUCAUGGCCCUUACGCGUUGCGGCUACACACGUGACUACAAUGGCGGUGACAGAGGGCUCGCAAGUCCUGCCAAAGGUUAGCUAACUCUCAAAUAAUGCCGUCUCAGUUCGGAUUGUUCUCUGCAACUCGUGCGAGCAUGAAGGCGGAAUCGCUAGUAAUCGCGGAUCAGCAUGCACGCGGUGAAUACGUAUCCCAGUGCUCUUGUACACACCGCCCGUCAGCACCUAUGCGGAGUUGCGAUUCACCCGACAGGCGCCUGUCGACUAACCCGCACAGUGGAGCUGAUCAC